UACAGAGGGUGCGAGCGGUAAUCGGAAUUACUGGGCGUAAAGCGUGCGUAGACGGUUAUCUAAGUCGGAUGUGAAAGCCCCGGGCUCAACCUGGGAAUUGCAUUCGAGACUGAAUAGCUAGGGUACGGUAGAGGGAAGUGGAAUUUCCGGUGUAGCGGUGAAAUGCGUAGAUAUCGGAAGGAACAUCAGUGGCGAAAGCGACUUCCUGGACCAGUACCGACGUUCAGGCACGAAAGCGUGGGGAGCAAACAGG
rnacentral:rRNA from 1 species